UUAGGCAAAGGGUUGCUUUUAAUAUUCAUCAAGUUUGACCUCAAAUCAGGUAGGAUUACCCGCUGAACUUAAGCAUAUCAAUAAGCGGAGGAAAAGAAACCAACUGGGAUUACCUUAGUAACGGCGAGUGAAGCGGUAAAAGCUCAAAUUUGAAAUCUGGUACUUUCAGUGCCCGAGUUGUAAUUUGUAGAAUUUGUCUUUGAUUAGGUCCUUGUCUAUGUUCCUUGGAACAGGACGUCAUAGAGGGUGAGAAUCCCGUUUGGCGAGGAUACCUUUUCUCUGUAAGACUUUUUCGAAGAGUCGAGUUGUUUGGGAAUGCAGCUCAAAGUGGGUGGUAAAUUCCAUCUAAAGCUAAAUAUUGGCGAGAGACCGAUAGCGAACAAGUACAGUGAUGGAAAGAUGAAAAGAACUUUGAAAAGAGAGUGAAAAAGUACGUGAAAUUGUUGAAAGGGAAGGGCAUUUGAUCAGACAUGGUGUUUUUUGCAUGCACUCGCCUCUCGUGGGCUUGGGCCUCUCAAAAAUUUCACUGGGCCAACAUCAAUUCUGGCAGCAGGAUAAAUCAUUAAGAAUGUAGCUACUUCGGUAGUGUUAUAGCUUUUUGGAAUACUGUUAGCCGGGAUUGAGGACUGCGCUC
rnacentral:rRNA from 1 species